AUUGAACGCUGGCGGCAGGCCUAACACAUGCAAGUCGAACGAGUGGCGGACGGGUGAGUAAUGUCUGGGAAACUGCCCGAUGGAGGGGGAUAACUACUGGAAACGGUAGCUAAUACCGCAUACCAUCGGAUGUGCCCAGAUGGGAUUAGCUAGUGGGUGGGGUAACGGCCCACCUAGGCGACGAUCCCUAGCUGGUCUGAGAGGUUGACCGGCCGCAAUGGAACUGGGACACGGUCCAGACUCCUACGGGAGGCGUCAGUGGGGAAUGUUGCGCAAUGGGCGCAAGCCUGAUGCAGCCAUGCCGCGUGUAUGAAGAAGGCCUUCGGGUUGUAAAGUACUUUCAGCGAGGGGGCGUUACUCGCAGAAGAAGCACCGGCUAACUCCGUGCCAGCAGCCGCGGUAAUAC
rnacentral:rRNA from 1 species